GGGAGGCAGCAGUGAGGAAUAUUGGUCAAUGGACGAGAGUCUGAACCAGCCAAGUAGCGUGAAGGAUGACUGCCUAUGGGUUGUAAACUUCUUUUAUACGGGAAUAAGUGAGCCACGUGUGGCUUUUUGUAUGUACCGUAUGAAUAAGGAUCGGCUAACUCCGUGCCAGCAGCCGCGGUAAUACGGAGGAUCCGAGCGUUAUCCGGAUUUAUUGGGUUUAAAGGGAGCGUAGGCGGGUUGUUAAGUCAGUUGUGAAAGUUUGCGGCUCAACCGUAAAAUUGCAGUUGAUACUGGCGACCUUGAGUGCAACAGAGGUAGGCGGAAUUCGUGGUGUAGCGGUGAAAUGCUUAGAUAUCACGAAGAACUCCGAUUGCGAAGGCAGCUUACUGGAUUGUAACUGACGCUGA
rnacentral:rRNA from 1 species